rnacentral:rRNA from 1 species
UACGCAGGGGGCUAGCGUUGUCCGGAUUUAUUGGGCGUAAAGAGCGUGUAGGCGGCCAGGUAGGUCUGCUGUGAAAACUCGAGGCUCAACCUCGAGACGUCGGCGGAAACCAUCUGGCUAGAGUCCGGAAGAGGAGAGUGGAAUUCCUGGUGUAGCGGUGAAAUGCGCAGAUAUCAGGAAGAACACCCGUGGCGAAGGCGGCUCUCUGGGACGGUACUGACGCUGAGACGCGAAAGCGUGGGGAGCGAACAGG